rnacentral:tRNA from 1 species
GCCUGGGUGGCUCAGUCGGUUAAGCGUCCGACUUCGGCUCAGGUCGUGAUCUCGCGGUCCGUGGGUUCGAGCCCCGCAUCGGGCU